GACGAACGCUGGCGGCGUGCUUAACACAUGCAAGUCGAACGGAAAGGCCCUGCUUUUGUGGGGUGCUCGAGUGGCGAACGGGUGAGUAACACGUGAGUAACCUGCCCUUGACUUUGGGAUAACUUCAGGAAACUGGGGCUAAUACCGGAUAGGAGCUCCUGCUGCAUGGUGGGGGUUGGAAAGUUUCGGCGGUGGGGGAUGGACUCGCGGCUUAUCAGCUUGUUGGCGGGGUAGUGGCUUACCAAGGCUUUGACGGGUAGCCGGCCUGAGAGGGUGACCGGCCACAUUGGGACUGAGAUACGGCCCAGACUCCUACGGGAGGCAGCAGUGGGGAAUAUUGCACAAUGGGCGGAAGCCUGAUGCAGCAACGCCGCGUGCGGGAUGACGGCCUUCGGGUUGUAACCCGCUUUCGCCUGUGACGAAGCGUGAGUGACGGUAAUGGGUAAAGAAGCACCGGCUAACUACGUG
rnacentral:rRNA from 1 species